rnacentral:rRNA from 1 species
AUUGAACGCUGGCGGCAGGCCUAACACAUGCAAGUCGAACGGUAACAGAAAGCAGCUUGCUGCUUUGCUGACGAGUGGCGGACGGGUGAGUAAUGUCUGGGAAACUGCCUGAUGGAGGGGGAUAACUACUGGAAACGGUAGCUAAUACCGCAUAACGUCGCAAGACCAAAGAGGGGGACCUUCGGGCCUCUUGCCAUCGGAUGUGCCCAGAUGGGAUUAGCUAGUAGGUGGGGUAACGGCUCACCUAGGCGACGAUCCCUAGCUGGUCUGAGAGGAUGACCAGCCACACUGGAACUGAGACACGGUCCAGACUCCUACGGGAGGCAGCAGUGGGGAAUAUUGCACAAUGGGCGCAAGCCUGAUGCAGCCAUGCCGCGUGUAUGAAGAAGGCCUUCGGGUUGUAAAGUACUUUCAGCGGGGAGGAAGGGAGUAAAGUUAAUACCUUUGCUAAUUGACGUUACCCGCAGAAGAAGCACCGGCUAACUCCGUG